UAAACGGUCCUUUUCAGGACCACCGAAAAUCAUUCCAAAAGAGAAUU
rfam:Aedes albopictus isolate Foshan contig198999, whole genome shotgun sequence.